rnacentral:rRNA from 1 species
UACGUAGGGGGCUAGCGUUAUCCGGAAUUAUUGGGCGUAAAGGGUGCGUAGGCGGUCCUACAAGUCAGAGGUGAAAGGCUACGGCUCAACCGUAGUAAGCCUUUGAAACUGUAGGACUUGAGUGCAGGAGAGGAGAGUGGAAUUCCCAGUGUAGCGGUGAAAUGCGUAGAUAUUGGGAGGAACACCAGUUGCGAAGGCGGCUCUCUGGACUGUAACUGACGCUGAGGCACGAAAGCGUGGGGAGCGAACAGGAUUAGAUACCCUGGUAGUCCACGCCGUAAACGAUGAGUACUAGGUGUCGGGGGUUACCCCCCUCGGUGCCGCAGCUAACGCAUUAAGUACUCCGCCUGGGAAGUACGCUCGCAAGAGUGAA